UUAAGCGACUAAGCGUACACGGUGGAUGCCCUGGCAGUCAGAGGCGAUGAAGGACGUGCUAAUCUGCGAUAAGCGUCGGUAAGGUGAUAUGAACCGUUAUAACCGGCGAUUUCCGAAUGGGGAAACCCAGUGUGUUUCGACACACUAUCAUUAACUGAAUCCAUAGGUUAAUGAGGCGAACCGGGGGAACUGAAACAUCUAAGUACCCCGAGGAAAAGAAAUCAACCGAGAUUCCCCCAGUAGCGGCGAGCGAACGGGGAGGAGCCCAGAGCCUGAAUCAGUGUGUGUGUUAGUGGAAGCGUCUGGAAAGGCGCGCGAUACAGGGUGACAGCCCCGUACACAAAAAUGCACAUACUGUGAGCUCGAUGAGUAGGGCGGGACACGUGGUAUCCUGUCUGAAUAUGGGGGGACCAUCCUCCAAGGCUAAAUACUCCUGACUGACCGAUAGUGAACCAGUACCGUGAGGGAAAGGCGAAAAGAACCCCGGCGAGGGGAGUGAAAAAGAACCUGAAACCGUGUACGUACAAGCAGUGGGAGCNNNNNNNNNNNNGUGACUGCGUACCUUUUGUAUAAUGGGUCAGCGACUUAUAUUCUGUAGCAAGGUUAACCGAAUAGGGGAGCCGAAGGGAAACCGAGUCUUAACUGGGCGUUAAGUUGCAGGGUAUAGACCCGAAACCCGGUGAUCUAGCCAUGGGCAGGUUGAAGGUUGGGUAACACUAACUGGAGGACCGAACCGACUAAUGUUGAAAAAUUAGCGGAUGACUUGUGGCUGGGGGUGAAAGGCCAAUCAAACCGGGAGAUAGCUGGUUCUCCCCGAAAGCUAUUUAGGUAGCGCCUCGUGAAUUCAUCUCCGGGGGUAGAGCACUGUUUCGGCAAGGGGGUCAUCCCGACUUACCAACCCGAUGCAAACUGCGAAUACCGGAGAAUGUUAUCACGGGAGACACACGGCGGGUGCUAACGUCCGUCGUGAAGAGGGAAACAACCCAGACCGCCAGCUAAGGUCCCAAAGUCAUGGUUAAGUGGGAAACGAUGUGGGAAGGCCCAGACAGCCAGGAUGUUGGCUUAGAAGCAGCCAUCAUUUAAAGAAAGCGUAAUAGCUCACUGGUCGAGUCGGCCUGCGCGGAAGAUGUAACGGGGCUAAACCAUGCACCGAAGCUGCGGCAGCGACGCUUAUGCGUUGUUGGGUAGGGGAGCGUUCUGUAAGCCUGUGAAGGUGUACUGUGAGGUAUGCUGGAGGUAUCAGAAGUGCGAAUGCUGACAUAAGUAACGAUAAAGCGGGUGAAAAGCCCGCUCGCCGGAAGACCAAGGGUUCCUGUCCAACGUUAAUCGGGGCAGGGUGAGUCGACCCCUAAGGCGAGGCCGAAAGGCGUAGUCGAUGGGAAACAGGUUAAUAUUCCUGUACUUGGUGUUACUGCGAAGGGGGGACGGAGAAGGCUAUGUUGGCCGGGCGACGGUUGUCCCGGUUUAAGCGUGUAGGCUGGUUUUCCAGGCAAAUCCGGAAAAUCAAGGCUGAGGCGUGAUGACGAGGCACUACGGUGCUGAAGCAACAAAUGCCCUGCUUCCAGGAAAAGCCUCUAAGCAUCAGGUAACAUCAAAUCGUACCCCAAACCGACACAGGUGGUCAGGUAGAGAAUACCAAGGCGCUUGAGAGAACUCGGGUGAAGGAACUAGGCAAAAUGGUGCCGUAACUUCGGGAGAAGGCACGCUGAUACGUAGGUGAAGUCCCUCGCGGAUGGAGCUGAAAUCAGUCGAAGAUACCAGCUGGCUGCAACUGUUUAUUAAAAACACAGCACUGUGCAAACACGAAAGUGGACGUAUACGGUGUGACGCCUGCCCGGUGCCGGAAGGUUAAUUGAUGGGGUUAGCGGUAACGCGAAGCUCUUGAUCGAAGCCCCGGUAAACGGCGGCCGUAACUAUAACGGUCCUAAGGUAGCGAAAUUCCUUGUCGGGUAAGUUCCGACCUGCACGAAUGGCGUAAUGAUGGCCAGGCUGUCUCCACCCGAGACUCAGUGAAAUUGAACUCGCUGUGAAGAUGCAGUGUACCCGCGGCAAGACGGAAAGACCCCGUGAACCUUUACUAUAGCUUGACACUGAACAUUGAGCCUUGAUGUGUAGGAUAGGUGGGAGGCUUUGAAGUGUGGACGCCAGUCUGCAUGGAGCCGACCUUGAAAUACCACCCUUUAAUGUUUGAUGUUCUAACGUUGACCCGUAAUCCGGGUUGCGGACAGUGUCUGGUGGGUAGUUUGACUGGGGCGGUCUCCUCCUAAAGAGUAACGGAGGAGCACGAAGGUUGGCUAAUCCUGGUCGGACAUCAGGAGGUUAGUGCAAUGGCAUAAGCCAGCUUGACUGCGAGCGUGACGGCGCGAGCAGGUGCGAAAGCAGGUCAUAGUGAUCCGGUGGUUCUGAAUGGAAGGGCCAUCGCUCAACGGAUAAAAGGUACUCCGGGGAUAACAGGCUGAUACCGCCCAAGAGUUCAUAUCGACGGCGGUGUUUGGCACCUCGAUGUCGGCUCAUCACAUCCUGGGGCUGAAGUAGGUCCCAAGGGUAUGGCUGUUCGCCAUUUAAAGUGGUACGCGAGCUGGGUUUAGAACGUCGUGAGACAGUUCGGUCCCUAUCUGCCGUGGGCGCUGGAGAACUGAGGGGGGCUGCUCCUAGUACGAGAGGACCGGAGUGGACGCAUCACUGGUGUUCGGGUUGUCAUGCCAAUGGCACUGCCCGGUAGCUAAAUGCGGAAGAGAUAAGUGCUGAAAGCAUCUAAGCACGAAACUUGCCCCGAGAUGAGUUCUCCCUGACUCCUUGAGAGUCCUGAAGGAACGUUGAAGACGACGACGUUGAUAGGCCGGGUGUGUAAGCGCAGCGAUGCGUUGAGCUAACCGGUACUAAUGAACCGUGAGGCUUAACCUU
rnacentral:rRNA from 1 species